rnacentral:ncRNA from 1 species
ACGAAAUUCUGGAGAAGCCUGCUCAGGCAGGUGCCGAAGGUGCAAGCGGUCCCAUCCCCGUAAACUCUCAGGCAAAAGGACAGAAU